GCCGAAGAGCGUGCGGCUUCUACUGCGGCUGCGCAAGCUCGACGCGCGCACUCUUGUCUGCUUACGAGGGCUCCUCCCUUCAGCUUUGGUCCCUCGGGGCGUCUGGGCAGCCUACGCUUUCCGACUGGAAUCAGCCAUUUUACCAAGAAAGUUGGGUUUCUUUUACUGGCAAAUAGUACUUCAAGAGCACAGUCUUAUGUAAGUAAACACUGGGAUGCCGGAGCUCAGGCAUCCCAGACAGGAGGAAGUGUGUACUCACACCAGCCAGGAGGAAACAAGCCUGCCUGGGAGGACAGACGAUCAGCCCUGGCUGUCCCUCAGGAGCGGGGGGCCUCCAAGGCACACUGCCCACUGGGUCAAGGAGUAUCCAGGAGGAGUUAGAAGCAUGACCCAUCUGCCUGGCACCAGCACCUGGGGCUGCCAGGCAGCCACCCCUGCAGCUGUGUUGACAGGACCUGGCAGAGGGACUGACCCACCUUUGGAAAAUGACACCAGCAAUAUCAGGAUGUGUCAACUGGAUUUAUGCUAAGAAAAUAGGAUUUUUGGUGUUCCUCUGUUUCCCAAAGUUUGAGACACUUUCAGACACUCUGCUUUGCGGUUGUGGCCGAUGUUACCCAUGGGUGGGACUUUUGCUUUGCUCUAGAUUUUUGUAACACCCUGGGGAGUUUCAGGGGCCAAUGCUGAGAGAAGACCACAGGCUGACACAUCAUGAGACCCUCUGGGCAGGUCCACUAAGAGCAUGUAUUCUAGAACAUGCAGGGCUUGAAGCUUCACAAGAUAUUCAGUGCACUCCUUACAGAUCCUGUCAAAUGUGGACCGGGUGGUGUCAUCGCACCACCAUCAUCCCCUUGUUACCCCUGAGAACACAGCUUCAGAGAGGGGCGGCGCUGGCUUUCAGGCCGUUCAGCAGGGAUGAGUAGAAGGCAUGGAUGAACAUCUUAGAAGCAGCCACUGGCACAGGCCACAGAGACACGAGGACACACUGAGCGCCGGCAGCCAGGAAGGCCCUUGUCAGCGCGAUGACCCCGUCGGCUGUGACUUUGCUGUUGGACUCCUGGGAGGAGCCAAGCACCACCAGCUUCACAGGCAGCUGCAGGUCCAGGACGUCGGCGGCAGUGCCUAACUUACUGAGAAUCAUGCCUGCUGUGAUGAGCCCUUGGAAACCAUCAGGACUGGAUGGUAGGGGUCCUGAGAGGAUUGGGGGAGGAGGCCUUGAUAUGACAGAGUGGACAGAGGCCGUGGAACCCAGGACAGCCAGCCUGCUCCACAAUCCUCAUCCCCACAGACCUUCAUGUGUGGCUCCUAAAUAAGAGGAAACCCACUCCUGAUAAGUCAGGGGCUUUGAAAAGUGAUUUUGUUUAAAUGGUGCAAACAAGCAAGCCAAUCUUGGGGAGACAGGGCUAAACUUAAGUCCUUUAAGAAGCUCUACAUACUGACAAGAUUCUAGUUCCCUUCCACCUUAUAUGCUGCAAAGUAAAAAGUAUCACUGAAUGAGAAAAUCAGCAUAAAGAAGCCCAAUAAUGUCUGCCUGAGUUUCCCCUAUGAUGACUUUUGGUACUUUUUGGGAAACAUUAAGUAUGAAGUUAUUUCAAAAUAAUUUUUUGGUGCCUCUGCUUGGUGAUGCCUUAAACUCUGGGUAAGAGAAACACCAGGUGCCUGUCAGGAGAUGGCCUUUUCCAGGUUUCUGGUUAAGCUACAAACAGCUAACUGGCUGCUGUCAUCAAAAUAAAAGCUUUCUGAAGGUGGAGGCAUCUGAUACCCAGAGUGCUGCUAUCAGCCGGCACGGUGGGCCGCUGGGUGGCAGGAGCGUCGAGAAGGCCAGCUCGCUUCCUAUCUGGGAUUCAGAAUCAGCUAUGGAAACUUGAGAGACCUAGAGAAAAUAACUUCUUUCACUUUGAACUGAUUCUUUGCUUCAUAAGAAAAGUAUUAUCCAGCCACAAAAAUGGUCAAAAUUCAGAUCUACAAAAGCCUGUCAGGCAGAAACUGACCCCACUUAGGCCACGCCAAUGAGCAAGUCAUCAAAGCAGCCAAGACAGGUCCUGUGGGGGCCACCCAUGCACAGGGCCCAGCCUCGGGUCCUAACCCCGCCUAUGCUUUCCGCCACCAUAAAGAGGCCCAUCUGGGUAAGACCUGUCCCGCCUGCUGUGGGGUAUUAGGGCAGAUGGGGUCUGAGGGGUCUGAGGGCUCUGAGAGCAGCUGGCAGCUCAAGGACAUCCGGAGUUGGAGGAUGGAGCAAUGCAGGCCCUUGUGGUAAAGACAGUCCUGCAGCCGCGCAGGCAGGGAUGCUGCAAGUGGAGUGCCAGGCGGGUGCGGAGCCCUGUGGGACUGUGGAGGGGUCAGAGGGAAGCCAGGAUUUUGGGGUCUCUGAGAGUUUGGAGAAGGGGAAGAAGAUUAAAGCUUGUUUCAAAAGUUUCUAAUCAGGUGGGCAGGGCCAAGGGUGGCUGUGGGGUGAGACCCAUGACUCAGGGUGGCCCACUGUUACUCUAUUGAUUUUUGGGCGUUUUUUUCCAAAUUGAUUAUUCUUGCUGAAUGAGACCUGAGUCCUUGACUGUCCCCUUAAAGCCACCUGACUUGUUUUCAGUUCCACUGGCCUGUCGGGCUGUUUUCUACUCAACUCCACUCUUGCUUGUCUGCCCUCCCUGCCUGGGGCCCAGCCAGCAGUCAGCUCAAGGGCCAGAUGAAUUGGGUGGCUGUGCUCUGCCCACUGGGCAUCGUGUGGAUGGUGGGUGACCAGCCCCCUCAGGUGCUCAGCCAGGCCUCAAGCCUUGCUGUGUACCUCAGAGCAGCUCCGUACCCUGAUGUCACAGCAAAGAAACUUAGACAUGACACAAACUGUGGCUUCCCAAGGCAGCAAAGAAUGGCCAGGGGUCAUGAGGGCCGUGCCCCACUUUUGGACAGACCUACUCUAAAGUCACGCUACCUGCGUGCAAAUCAUAAAAUCAACACUUUUGAGGAGAUCACAGCUAUGCCUUCGUAACACAGCCCAGUCCGACCAGAUAGACGGUGCCUCGUGACCCGAAAACAAGCCCCCGGCCCCCCACCAUGUGUGUGAGCCUUACCUUGGACUGCACGCUGAGGGAGCGGAUGGAAGGGACAGCAAGGAGGCCGAAGCGCUCGUAGAGGUACUCAUUGGAGGAGCUUCCCUUCAGGAGGGCGAAAGGAAUGAGGUAGAGCUCCCCCUCCAGAACCAGGAUGAGCUGCCGGUGCCGGCCCACGGGGCCGCUGGAGUGCAUCAGGCCCUAUGGAGCAAGCACGGAGAGGCUGACAUGGGUGGCCCAGCAGGCAGGGGUUUCAGGCACCAGGACAACCCUGAGCCCUAGCCUGGAUGACACAAGCACGAGCAGGUGAGGCCUGUGGGGGUGUGGGGCGCCAUGGGGCAUGGGCCGAGUUGCAGCCCUGCAGGAGCGGCACCAACUGGCAUGCUCGCUUGUGGACUGGCAAGGGCUGGCCUGGCAGCAUCCAUCUGCCUCACAGUCCUGAGAAGGUUAGAGGACAGUUUCUUGAAGUUCACAAGAACCUGAAGUGGGUUGGAGACCGGUCUGUACCGCACAGGCACCCUGAGAAGGGGUGGGAAUGGCCCCUCUCAAAACAAGAUCUGUUUUCCAUUUCAAUGGACAAGAGGCUAGAAAAUCACAGUGAGGACGGGAGGUCUGGGGGCUGGCAUGACAGCCCCUGUAGAAGGGGAUGGGCUGGGUUCUAGGAUCUUCCGUGACCUCCUCUGAGAAAGAGUGGCCCCUUGGCUCUGGGCUUGGGAGGUGCCGUCCCCACUUGUUCCCUCUGGGGAUGUCAGGGGACCCAAUGCAUGGAUGACUCCCAUCCCUCUUGAAAGGCCGAGCAUGAGGACUCGAGGCAGGGUGUGCACAGGGCCACAGCGGACACAGCCUCAUUCCUGUUCAUUGCAGAACAAGGCUAAGGGCGCGGGCAUCUUAAUGAGAGCAGCAGGCAACAAUCCUGGAAGCUGGGUCCACACAGACUGCGGUGAACAAAGAGGUGGCGUGGAAGCUGCUGCUGCAGCCCAGAGCCUGCCAAGAAGGUCCCAGGUCCACAGGGCCUGCGCAACACUGGGUGCCAGGGGUGGGGCUGGCCUGCCCCCCAACCCCAUCUGCUGAGGAGUGGCUGACAAGCGGACACCCACCAGGGUGCCACUCGCUUGUGCCUGGGGAAGCAAAUGUGCUCGCUUGACCCGUCUGAUGUGCUGCCGUGGGCACUUGACUGAGAGUGGCAGAGCACUAGGCUAACCCAAAGUGACACAUGCCUGGCGGGAUGUUCAGUCUCUGUAAACCCAUAUGGUUUUUUUUUUUCUUUCCUUUAAAAAAAAUUUCUAGC
ensembl:lncRNA TTC28-AS1 TTC28 antisense RNA 1